rnacentral:rRNA from 1 species
GCCUACGAAACAGUCACCUUGAAUGCAUCCAAUCUUGUCGGAUCUCGGAAGCUAAGCAGGAUUUGCUGUUUUAUUUUCUGGGAUGAGAGAAUAUCUGGGCACACCAGGUGUUGUAGGCA